UACAGAGGUCUCAAGCGUUGUUCGGAUUCAUUGGGCGUAAAGGGUGCGUAGGCGGCGCGGUAAGUCGGGUGUGAAAUCUCGGAGCUUAACUCCGAAACUGCAUUCGAUACUGCCGUGCUUGAGGACUGGAGAGGAGACUGGAAUUUACGGCGUAGCGGUGAAAUGCGUAGAUAUCGUAAGGAAGACCAGUGGCGAAGGCGGGUCUCUGGACAGUUCCUGACGCUGAGGCACGAAGGUCAGGGGAGCAAACGGG
rnacentral:rRNA from 1 species